rnacentral:rRNA from 1 species
UGCGCUUACCACUUUGUGAUUCAUGACUGGGGUGAAGUCGUAACAAGGUAACCGUAGGGGAACCUGCGGUUGGAUCACCUCCUUACCUUAAAGAA